rnacentral:rRNA from 1 species
GGAUUGGCGCAUCGGUCGUGCCUCUGGUAUGUACUGGUCUCACUGAUUCCUCCUUCCUGAUGAACCUUAAUGCCAUUAAUUUGGUGUUUUGGGGAAUUUGGACUGUUACUUUGAAAAAUUAGAGUGUUUAAAGCAAGCUAACGCUUGAAUACAUUAGCAUGGAAUAAUGAAAUAGGACGUUCGAUCCUAUUUUGUUGGUUUCUAGGAUUGACGUAAUGAUUAAUA